CCAAUUCAAACGGGUCGCUUUGCAUCCGACGCGACCGGCGCGAUAGAGCGUCUCCCUCCGAAGAACGUCCCCGGCCUUAACGGUUUCCAGGGGCCUCCGCUGGGUGCGUCUCCGCUCUGCUUUCCAUCGCCCCAAUUCCGAACAAAAGAAAAAGGGGGGGAAAAAUUAUUUAUUUAUUUAUUUAUUUAUUAAGAAAAAUAAGUCUUUUUAAGAUAAUAAGAAAAAUAAGGAACAAACGUGCAGACCUUCACUGCUCAGGGGGGCUACAAACCAAAGUAAAACUAGGGGCCGGCAAAAACAUGGCACUCCACAGUCUUAAUUUAACAAAACACAGUGGAACCCCCUGAAAUAGCGUGAAAUUCAGAAGCCUGUGGUCGGGCUGAAGCGUCGUGUGCUGGCCGGCAGAUGUUUGGAAAGGUGCUAAGAUGUAACUCUUAUUGUCCAUAGAAUUUGCUGUUAACCACUUGCAAGAUACAAAGUGACGGCCAGCUGGAUGAAUAGGAGAAUGUAUGUGAACACCCGGAACUGACAGACCCGGGACGGUGCAUGUGGCUUGAAGUGGGCACUGAGAGAAAGCUCAGACAAUGUAUAUACAUGCUAUUAACAUUCACAUUAAUUUCCACUGGGACACGACUUAAUUAAGUUCAGGAACGCAUGCAAGUGUACUGUUCUUAUUAGAGGCACGGUCUGGAGAAGAUGGCCGGGGAGCUGAGCAUCAUUUCUACAUCAGCUGCUGAAGCGCCCACUAACUUUGGAUGUCGCCUAAACCUUCAGAUGGAAUCCUUGCAGGCAUUCCCGUGGGGAUCGGGAAAUUGCAGUAUGCCGGAACUACCGUUGCUGAUGUGGGGCGAGCGCUCUGAAGUGCACUUGGAGAAGAACGCAUUCCAAUCCCGCAUAUAUGAAAAGUUUAAUAUUUUAGACAGCUAGAUGAAAUGCUGGGGUCUUGGUGCAUUUUGCUUUGGCGGUCCAGGCUUUUCAGCAUCUUAGGGAAAUGUUUGGAAAUGAAUUUUAUUUUCACAACUGUGGUACAAUUACAAGGCGGGGAUGUUUCACCCUUCUCACCGAGGUGCCCUUGGUGGUGGUGGUCUGUAAAUGGCUAUAGAACUGACAGAGAAGUCUGCAAGCAUUUUCUUCGGUUCUGAUUUUUAUUCUUAUUUGUUUUAACAGAGAGAUAAAAACCAGCAUUGUGCAUGUCCUUGCUCUGCGGGUUGGGGAUGUAUCGUUGUUGUUGUCGUUGUUUUCCUGGGAAGUAAAACAGGGUAGGAUAUUGGUAAUAAGGGCAAGUGGAUUUAUUGCUGAGCGAGUUGUACGCUGUUUGACAGAAAAUUCCUGAACUGAUCGGUGUUGGUGGAAGUUGGGGCUGCCUCCCGAUGUUUCCUGAGCCUUCUAUUUAGUUUGGAGUUCUGGGAAGUAUUUGUGGGCUUAAUCCAUUUACGCUUUUGAUAGGUAAAUGCAAGCCAUGAGUUACGGUAAAUUAUUGCUAAGAAAAGAUGAAUGGAAGAAUGGAUGUUUCAUUUUACUAUAUAUGCUGGGAAAGGUUGUUCUUUCUUUCAGCGUAUAACUCUGCUUUUCCUCGUACAACCUAUUUACAGGGUCAGACUUCUUAAUUUAUUUUUUUUUUGUUUCUGUAUUUACUGUAAUUAAAGCCAAAGCAGACAACACUUCUUCAGUCUUCUGCAUUUACUGAGUGCCUUUAGCAAACACGCUGCAAGGCAUAGCCGUUAGAUGAGCAUUUCCAACCAUGGUGUGUAAAUGAGUUAUAAAAUACAAGCAACUCUAU
ensembl:lncRNA